UACAGAGGAGCCAAGCGUUGUCCGGAUUGACUGGGCGUAAAGCGCACGCAGGCGGCUGCGCGCGUGGGGUGUGAAAUCUGGCCGCUUAACGGCCAGGCGCCAUCCCAUACGGCGCGGCUUGAGCCUUGCAGAGGGCGGUGGAAUUGCCGGUGUAGUGGUGAAAUGCGUAGAUAUCUGGAGGAACACCGGUGGCGAAAGCGCGAGACUGGGCCUAACUGACGCUGGAGGAACGAAAGCCAGGGGAGCAAAAGG
rnacentral:rRNA from 1 species